GACGAACGCUGGCGGCGUGCCUAAUACAUGCAAGUCGAACGCAGUGGGGACGGGUGAGUAACACGUGGGUAACCUCCCAUCAGAGGGGAUAACACUUGGAAACAGGUGCUAAAACCGAUACUGCUGGAUGGACCCGCGGUGAAUUAACUAGUUGGUGAGGUAACGGCUCAACAAGGCCACGAUGCAUAGCCGACCGUAGAGGGUGAUACGUCACACUUGGACGGAGACACGGCCCAUACUCCUACGGGAGGCAGCAGUGGGGAAUCGUCGGCAAUGUACGAAAGUCUGACCUAGCAACGCCGCGUGAGUGAAGAGGGUUUUCGGAUCGUAAAACUCUGGUGUUAGAGAAGCGGUAUCGAACCAGAAAGCCACGGCUAACUCCGUGCCAGCAGCCGCGGUAAUUC
rnacentral:rRNA from 1 species